UUCCAGUCUAGCCUGGGCUACAUAAGUGAAUUAAAGCACCCACAGCAGUGUGGAGCCAGGAGGACUCUUCUCCCUGGCAUUCAAGGACUGCUAUGGAAAGGAGAACCUGAAAAGAACAGGGUGGCAGGUGUCCCCAGGACUUACAAGCCCCUUGAGCCUUCCCCAAACCCUCCCCUGUGAAGUUCUGGCUGUCUUACACCUGGAAAUCACAGGAGCCCGCAGUGAAGAAUCUUUAGCUUCGCAGAGCUACGGGGGCUCAUUCGUGUCACCCCCUCCACCUGUGCCCCGCCAAACGCAGGCCAUCUUCCCCUGACAAUGCAACCUGAGGGCAGUUCUCAAGGAAAAGCCACCGCUCAGCCUGUCUUCCAGCGCCGGCUUCGGCUCCUGGCCACGCUGUACUCUGCCCUCUCCGCCGUGACUCAGCUCCCCUGUCCGGCUAGGAUACCGGCCAGAAAAAUUCCUGGCUUUGACAAGCGCGAUUCUGGCUUCCUCUCCCACAACUAGACAGCGGGGUGGAAAGAGCCCUCUUCCCAAACUGUCCCCUUUCUUAAAGGGCUGCUGAGAGCCUAGACCUCACAGCCCAGCCUCAGGGGGAGCCCGGGGGGUGGGGGCUCUCUGGGUGCAGGAGGGUGGGAGGUAGGCAGAUCAAGGUCACCGUGUACCGCUCUCUGCUCCAGGCAUGUGGUGUCUAGUCCUGGCCGGCUGCAGGUACCCCUGCCUUCCCUAGGGCCUCCCCUUCAGCUCCCCACAGGUCUGGCAAUGGGAGUCACUUUUGUGCCAGCCGUCCGUGUCCCCCUGACUGAAGCCCUUGUCACUAUUCCCACCAGCAUGGAAAAUAGAACACAGCAAGAGAGUAAUGUCAAACUGUCUCAGGAAAUCGAAGAAAGCACUAGUGUUUUGUUUUGUUUUUAUUUGUUUUGAGAAAGGGUUUUACUUUGUAGCACAAGCUAGCU